AUUGCUAAACUGUGUGAACAAACAGGAAUUCUAUAGUGCCUGCUAUGUGCCAAGCCCUGUGUUAAGUCCUUUUCCAAAUACUUCAUUUGAUCGUCACCACAACCCUGAGAACAAGAAACCUCUGAGAGAUAAGGAAAUCAAGGCUCAGAGAAGUGCAAUGAAUAGAAUGGCAUUGUGGAAAGACUACUGGAAAACCUGGAGUUUAGUCUCAGCUUCACUGCUAACUAGCUCAGUCUUUGAGAAAUCAGUCAAGAGGCUCCACAUAUUUGGAAAUGGCUCCAAGCUGAAAGCUGCAUCAAAGGAAAUAAACAGUCCUGCUCUCUACUCUCAGCAAGCUUACAGUUUACAUGUCCCUCAAAGAGGCUGGGACUAUA